AGCCCAGGGAUGAUGCAGUGGUGAGGCGACUUGGAGGGAAGUCCACGGCAGCUCUUUACCUGACCCUGCCUCAGUCACCAUCAGUCACUUGGAUAAGGACAUAACAGGCAUAUUCCCCCAAUGUGUGAAUCUUGAUUUAAUCUAUCUCAUAAGGCUGGAAUAGAAGUAUAAAAAGUAACCGGGAAAGCUUAAGGUCCGAUAAUUAGGUGAGGACAGAGAGCUGGGUUCACAGAAGCAAGCACUGGACAGGGAAGGACGCUGGGGACUGCACAAGUGCGGCACAGUGUGACUCAACCUGAGGAGCACCGGGGUUCUCACAGGGUGAUUUCGUCCCCUAGGAGACACGUGGCCAUGCCUGGAGACAGUGUGGGUUGUCACAACAGGAGAGGGGUUUGUGGUACAUGAUUGGCAUCUGGUGGUCAGAGGCCAGAGACGCUGGGGAGCAUUCUGCAAAACUCAGGACAGCACCCCCAGCCUAGCCUCGUUGUCAGUGGUGUCAGGCUGUCACCUUGCCCUGGGAGGACUAAAAUGAACUAACAAUAUGUUAAUGAGCACAUAGACAAGGACUUGGAGAACUAAAAGGACAUUGACCAUCCAGAUUAAGGACUGUCCCAGCUAAACUGUACCUGGAAAAACAUCUAAUUCUGGGUACUAGUUUAGAUGUAGAUAGGGAUGUAGAUAAAUGUGUGUGUCUGUGGGGGGGGAGAUAGCAGAGCCAGGGAAAAUGGCUGAAAAAUCUGGAACCCAUAUUACAUCAGAACAGUAGGAAAACUUGGAAAAAAAGAUUUCUCAGGGUGUGGCAUGGGUGAGUAUAAAAGUAUGAAGAGCUCUUAUGGAAGAAGCUGCCUGUGUAGUCCAUGUUGCUCCAGAGGACAAAACCAAGCCCACUGGAUAGAAGGAUGGGAGAUGCGAGUUUCGCUAUGGGUUAGCAGCUGAGGUCUUCACCUUUAUCUCCUUGAAGAAGGAAGCAGUUUCACCCUCGAUAAUUGGUUGCAGCAAAGGGCUUCUCCGCUUGCUGGAGGGGGAACCCUGUGACAGGUGUUAACAACACCCAAGAGCAGGAGACUCUAGAGUUCCUUAGAGGAUCCUCCCUGGAUUGAACUCUCAAGGGAGCUGUCCCUCUGUGGGAUGAGGAAAGACUGUGGACAGAGCCUCUGGGACUAGAGAGGUACUGUUUGGAGUGAAGAGCCUGGAGAAGGCUCUGAAUCCUUCGUGUGAGCUGGGCGGGUGUCAGGUCCUCUUGCUCAUCAUCAUAGGAACCCAGAGAAGAGCUUCGCCGCCUACCCAGAGAGGAAAGACUUGGAUCAACUCCCUGAGCAGUCACCGACUGCUGGGAGGGGCCUUGAAUGUGGGGUGCCGUGUGGCACAGAGGAGAAGAACCAAAACAACCCCCAUGCUCUUGACUGAAAGGAAAUUAACCGAUUCAUUUUGUGGCUAAGCUCUGCAUGUCUCACUUAUCAUGGGGGUCUUUCUCUUACAUUUAUGAUUAGAAAAGUUAGAAUGAAAUGUUUUCUGCAGGCCUGAAAGUUAAAUUUGAGAGUGCUUUGAAAAUGAA